rnacentral:rRNA from 1 species
GAUGAACGCUAGCGACAGGCCUAACACAUGCAAGUCGAGGGGCAGCAUGAAAUUAGCUUGCUAAUUUUGAUGGCGACCGGCGCACGGGUGAGUAACACGUAUGCAACCUGCCUGUAAGCGGGGGAUAACCCGGAGAAAUUCUGACUAACACCGCAUAAUAUCAUCGAAUCGCAUGUUUUGAUGCUUAAAAAUUUAUUGCUUACAGAUGGGCAGGGGUAUGAUUAGCUAGUUGUCGUGGUAACGGCCCACCAAGUCGACGAUCAUUAGAGGUUUAGAGAGUAAGGGCCCACACAUUGGGAGUGGUACACUGUCCAAACUCCUACGGGAGGCAGCAGUGACGAAUAUUGGUCAAUGGACGCAAUUCUGAACCAGCCAUGUCGCGGAAAGGAUGACUGUCCUAUGGAUUUUAAACUUCUUUUAUAUGGGGAUAAAGUGUGAGACUUGUCUCAUUUUGCAUGUACCAUAUGAAUAACCAUCGGCUAACUCCGUGCCAGCCACCGCCGUAAUAC